rnacentral:rRNA from 1 species
AAUAUUGGACAAUGGGGGCAAGCCUGAUCCAGCCAUGCCGCGUGUGUGAAGAAGGUCUUCGGAUGGUAAAGCACUUUAAGUUGGGAGGAAGGGCUUUAGGUUAAUACCCUGAAGUUUGGAGGUUACAAACAGAAUAAGCACCGGUUACAUCUGUGCCAGCAGCCGCGGGAAUACAGAGGGUGCAAGCGUUACGCGGAAUUACUGGGCGUAAAGCGCGCGUAGGUGGUUCAGUAAGAUGGUUGUACACUCCCCGGGCUUAACCUGGGAACUGCUUUCAUAACUGCUGCUCUAGAGUACGGUAGAGGGUAGUGGAAUUUCCUGUGUAGCGGUGAAAUGCGUAGAUAUAGGAAGGAACACCAGUGGCGAAGGCGACUACCUGGACUGAUACUGACACUGAGGUGCGAAAGCGUGGGGAGCAAAC